CUGUUAACCCUGAGAAGAAAAUAUGCUCCUGAUGCUAAUGCACAGGAAGUGCUCCGACAUGGGCUGAGGUUUGCAGCAAGAAAGAUGGUGGACUUUAGGUCCCAGACCAAGAAUAAGAUCCUAAGUCGCUCAGUCAAGAGUGAAGAUGUGGGCACGUUAGAUGUUGACAGCCUUGUUAAAUAUAUUUACGGGAAAUUUAUGCAGGAGCAGUCUGAGGAGACUUCUAACUUAGCAGUUGCCCUGAGAUCUUUUUGUCACGAAAAGAGACAACUCAGAACACAAAUUGGAGAACCUCUGGAGGAUUUUUGGAGGACCUUCAAGAGCUAUCUCCAAGAUAUCUUGGACGAUAGCUCUGAGGACAAAUGGAGAAGGCUCAGUGAGAGUGAAGAGAAAAGAAUCGAGAGAUACAG